rnacentral:rRNA from 1 species
AAUAUUGGACAAUGGGGGCAACCCUGAUCCAGCCAUGCCGCGUGUGUGAAGAAGGUCUUCGGAUUGUAAAGCACUUUAAGAUGGGAGGAAGGGCUUUAGGUUAAUACCUUGCUGUGUUGACGUUACCGACAGAAUAAGCACCGGCUAACUUCGUGCCAGCAGCCGCGGUAAUACAGAGGGUGCAAGCGUGAAGCGGAAUUACUGGGCGUAAAGCGCGCGUAGGUGGUUCAGUAAGAUGGGUGUGAAAUCCCCGGGCUUAACCUGGGAACUGCUUUCAUAACUGCUGAGCUAGAGUACGGUAGAGGGUAGUGGAAUUUCCUGUGUAGCGGUGAAAUGCGUAGAUAUAGGAAGGAACACCAGUGGCGAAGGCGACUACCUGGACUGAUACUGACACUGAGGUGCGAAAGUGUGGGGAGCAAAC